CCAUUUUGGAAAUUCCAUAAAACCAACACACUAACUUUCAGCAAAAUAAAAAGCUGGUUGCAUAAUUAAAACAACCAUCUACUGCACUAUCUCUAACAGUCCUAAAUCAAAUAUAAACAUACAAAUUUUACUGCCUAAAUCAGAAACUAGGUAGAAAACAUAGUGAAUUCGAUUUGUUAAGACAUCACACAAAUGAGGAACUCUUAAAAGGCACAAAUUCAUUUCUUCAGUACAUCAAUUAGGCGAGCAUAUACUAUACAAUGUCUAUUACAGAAUACGUAAAUAAGUAGAAGAAGCAAAUGAAAGGAAAUCCAAAAAACCAAAACAACUUGUAUUCAGUCAGGCCUCAACUCGAAAUACAUGGUCUUAGUCACUUGUUGACAAUGAUUUUGAAGAAACACCUGGUAAUGAACAAAGAAGAUAAAAGAGGUGAAGAGUCUGCAAUCAACCAACAAAAAUAGUCAAUGCAACAGUGCCCAAAAUUCAGCAGCUCAAACCAGUAAAAAUGAACUAAAUAGCAAUAACUUCAACCCAGAACCAAACAGCAAAGCAGCUUAAAAAUCAUUUCCAAGCCAAAAUGGACCCCAGAUUUAUUUCAGAACUUCGAAACCCCAAGAAUUGUAAGAAAACUUGAAGGUAACAGUGUUUUUUUAUUUUUCUUCUAGUUUUUAGACCUUCUCAUUGUUCAAAAUUUUCUUUUGCCGUUUUUUAUAAUCUCCAGAAUUCUCUCUUUUUCAAUCUGCCUUCAAUGACAAGUAAAUGUGCCUUUAUAGGUAAGGCAUUAGGGCAGCCUAAAAGUGUUCAAUUUUUGCACUUCAGUCCUUUUCUAAUUUUGGUUUAUGCUUAGGAAUCCUUAGGUUAAAAUUCAGCCCAGUCCCUACCCCAGCUUCCUAGAAGCUUCCUCAGUUUGUUACAUAAGAUUACCCUAGUCUAUUACCCAAAAUACCUUUUCAACUUCUGAAAACUACCCCUCCAACCCAAUUAUGGGUCAAACUGACCCGACUCAAAUUGGUGUGUGUCUGCAAACCAAGUUGGAUUCUCUCUUGGGAUUUCUGACUCAAUUUCAAGUUCUUAGCCCUAAAUUCGAAUGAGUCUAAUAUAAGGUCUCAAACUGGGAAACCCGAAAUUUCUUUUUACUCAAUGGAAAAACUAAACAAAAGUAAAAUAAAACCAAAAAACACUAAUUACUUAACUAAAUUACAGCAUGCAAGCAGAGAAACAAUUCGGACAAAAAAAUGAAAACUAAAAGAUGAAAUAAAAAGGGAUCGAGGAGAGAAAGAAGCAUAAAAUAAAUGAAGAAUAAGAGGCAAAGAAAUAUACAUAAAAGGGUUCGGACAGUAGAAAUGGAAAGAAGUCUUCAAACCUUCCGAUUGUCGGCCAAAUCUGGUAUUAAUCUUGUGUUCUUAUCAAGAACACACGAUUAAAAUCAAAUUAGACCCAAAAUUUCAGCAAAAAACUUGAUUUGGGAUUUUAGGGUUCACUUUCGACUUAAAAUUCAAGAAAUUCUAGGGGGAUUCGAAGGUGAAGGGUUAGAGAUUUGGGUUAAAGGAGACUUGGUGGCCAUGAGGUGUUAAUCUGAGGGUGAGAGGAGGUGGCGCUGCCAGACUUAAGGUGGUGCGAAUAGGGGCAGCGAUCUAGGGUUUCUUUGGUCUCUGAAUAAGAGAGACGAUAAGAUGGGGGAGGGGUUUUGAGGGUAUGGGGCGGGGUUCCGAC
rnacentral:lncRNA from 1 species